UACGGAGGAUGCGAGCGUUAUCCGGAUUUAUUGGGUUUAAAGGGUGCGUAGGCGGACGCUUAAGUCAGCGGUAAAAUUGCGGGGCUCAACCUCGUUGAGCCGUUGAAACUGGGUGCCUUGAGUGGGCGAGAAGUACGCGGAAUGCGUGGUGUAGCGGUGAAAUGCAUAGAUAUCACGCAGAACUCCGAUUGCGAAGGCAGCGUACCGGCGCCCUACUGACGCUGAAGCACGAAGGCGUGGGUAUCGAACAGG
rnacentral:rRNA from 1 species